CAUUGAUGCCUGUUUCCUUCUAGAAAAACCUAAGCUGCCUUCACUAUGCAGCCCUCAGUGGCUCGGAGGAUGUGUCUCGGGUCCUCAUCCACGCAGGAGGCUGCGCCAACGUGGUUAAUCAUCAGGGUGCCUCUCCUCUGCACCUCGCUGUGAGGCACAACUUCCCUGCCUUGGUCCGGCUCCUCAUCAACUCCGACAGUGACGUGAAUGCCAUGGACAAUAGGCAGCAGACGCCCCUUCACCUGGCUGCAGAGCACGCCUGGCAGGACAUAGCAGAGAUGCUCCUCAUUGCUGGGGUUGACUUAAACCUGAGAGAUAAGGUACCUCUGCUUACAACCCACCUCGCUUCAGGCUUUCAUGGCUCCCCCUUUGCCAGAGACCCUGCUACGAAUGCCCCCUCCCUCCUCCCUCUCAGGGUGUUCAAGGACUGUCAUCCUUUCUAUACCAGCUCAAAUGCAGCCUCCUCCAGGAAGCCUUCCUGACCUUCCACCACC
rnacentral:sRNA from 1 species